GGGGAUGUGGCUCAGUGGUAGAGUGCAUGCUUUGUACGUAUGGGGGCCGCGGGUUCAAUCCCCGGCAUUUCCA